rnacentral:rRNA from 1 species
GAUGAACGCUGGCGGCGUGCCUAAUACAUGCAAGUCGAGCGAACGGACGAGAAGCUUGCUUCUCUGAUGUUAGCGGCGGACGGGUGAGUAACACGUGGAUAACCUACCUAUAAGACUGGGAUAACUUCGGGAAACCGUAGCUAAUACCGGAUAAUAUUUUGAACCGCAUGGUUCAAAAGUGAAAGACGGUCUUGCUGUCACUUAUAGAUGGAUCCGCGCUGCAUUAGCUAGUUGGUAAGGUAACGGCUUACCAAGGCAACGAUGCAUAGCCGACCUGAGAGGGUGAUCGGCCACACUGGAACUUGGACACGGUCCAGGCUCCUACGGGAGGCAGCAGUAGGGAAUCUUCCGCAGUGGGCGAAAGCCUGACGGAGCAACGCCGCGUGAGUGAUGAAGGUCUUCGGAUCGUAAAACUCUGUUAUUAGGGAAGAACAUAUGUGUAAGUAACUGUGCACAUCUUGACGGUACCUAAUCAGAAAGCCACGGCUAACUACGUG